rnacentral:misc_RNA from 1 species
ACACCUCAACUCUCAUGGCUUGCCAUGAUGAGCUUGGACUUGGGGGUUUUGCUGGCCUGUGGUCAGCUCCCCUCAAAUGCAUCAGCUUUCCAGUGUUUGGUGGCACCACAGGUGUGAUAAACAUCUACACAUGUGGUUCCCCACCAUAUAACCUUCAGUGAUGGAGGUUCGCUGGAGCUCACAAAUGUCUUUCCUCAGUGAAGACAGUUCUUUGAUU